GGGGAUUUAUGUCAGCGAUUGGUCGGCUCAAUGACAUCCCGAUUAGAAGAAUGUCAAAAUAAUAACGGGUUAUACACCCAUUAUUAAAUUUUGACAUAACAAAUUUUAUUCAUUAUUAAUGAGAAACAAUAAGCGCAUACCUGGCUGUGGUCCUCAAGACGAAAAAGAUAAAACUCUUCAUCCCGCGG